GGAUGUGAGAGCAAUCUGGCUUCGACAUGUCACCCCAUUGAUUGCAGGGGCUGAUUCAGCCGAUCUGGCUGGCUAAGUGGGUGUCCCCUUCCUCCCCUGCCUCUCGUGUAUCUCUCCCGAGGAUGCCGCUGGGUGGAGUAAAAAGACCACCUUGGUUAGAGGAGGACUGGUUCCUCCAUUCCUUCACUCCUCAGUCAGGGGUAUAUGUGUAGCUAAACUCCCCUGCUAGAACCUCCAGACCAGCUCUCAAGAGCCCUGGUCUGCCCUGAUGAGCACCUUAGAAUCCUUCAGCACGGGAAGAAGGAUGCAUCAGCUGAGAAGGAAUAACUG
rnacentral:snRNA from 1 species